rnacentral:misc_RNA from 1 species
AUAUGGAUUAGUUCUGUAAAGGAACAUUAUCCUCCACCCAUUGUUUUACGAUUUGGUUGCUUCGGCGAGUCGGUUGAAGGGUUUGAUAUCAAUAUCAAAACCACGACCCAUGACCCAUUGGUCAUCAAUGAGUACUCGCCGAAGAUUACAAACACAUUAAUAAUGAUGUCUGAGUACUUUAUUAAAAGUAA